AAAGGAUUAAAUGAUAUUUAAAUACGCUCCUUUGACGAAAAUAAAAAAAAUAAAAAUGCGUAAAGCUACCCUAUAAAUAGGGAAAUCCGAAUGGAGAAAGUGAGGUGUCAAUUACAUUUUCCGUGCUCUUUCUUCUUCGUCAGUUUCCCGCCCAAGUUUAGUCCAUAGGGGAACCCUCUGGCCUCAUACAUAGAGAUUCUUUUUCAAUUUGAAUUCCUUAAGUAUAUCUUUGAUUUCCUUUUUCAUGCAUUUUCUCUCCAUUUCUUCUCUGGCUGUGAUCGUAAUCGCUCCGGAAAAUUUACCGUCUCCAUCAAUCGCGCCAAAUUCCGUCCCUCGAUUAAUUUUGGUGAGUUUAGAGUUUCGGUCCUUUGCUUUACCACGGAGGGCUCUGCAGCGGAAAACAUCGAAGGUCCUGAGUCGUGGAAGGUCGCAGAGUUGGAUGAGGCCGUGAGACAACGGAAUUCCAUAUUAGAGGUAUUAAAUAUUCUGCCGACGGUGCUUCUCUCUCAGAUCAUUCGGUUCCUGCUGAAGUGUUUGAAGAUUCUAUCAGUCAGGUUGAUCGGUUCCUAGCGUAGCCUUUCGGAAUCCUUAAGAGUUUAGAUUUCGGUCCUUUGAUUUACCAUGGAGGGCUCUGCAGUGGAGGAUAUUGAAGGUCCUGAGUCAUGGAAGGUGGCAGAGGAUGAGGCCGUGAGACAAUGGAAUUUCAUAUGAGAG